rnacentral:tRNA from 1 species
UUUCUCAUGGUCCAGUGGUUAAGACUCUGCCCCUUCCACUGCAGAGGGGUGCAGGUUUAAUCCCUGCUUGGAGAA